rnacentral:rRNA from 1 species
CUACGGGUUGCUCCAGUGGGGAAUCUUAGACAAUGGGCGCAAGCCUGAUCUAGCCAUGCCGCGUGAGCGAUGAAGGCCUUAGGGUUGUAAAGCUCUUUCAGCGAGGAAGAUAAUGACUGUACUCGCAGAAGAAGCCCCGGCUAACUCCGUGCCAGCAGCCGCGGUAAUACGGAGGGGGCUAGCGUUGUUCGGAAUUACUGGGCGUAAAGCGCACGUAGGCGGAUCAGAAAGUCAGAGGUGAAAUCCCAGGGCUCAACCUUGGAACUGCCUUUGAAACUCCUGAUCUUGAGUUCGAGAGAGGUGGGUGGAAUUCCGAGUGUAGCGGUGAAAUUCGUAGAUAUUCGGAGGAACACCAGUGGCGAAGGCGGCUCACUGGCUCGAUACUGACGCUGAGGUGCGAAAGCGUGGGGAGCAAACAGGAUUAGAUACCCUAGUAGUC